rnacentral:lncRNA from 1 species
UUCGCCCACGCCCCCCGCAAAGGAUAUAGCCCACCCGUUUUUUGGCCAUUUUUCCGCUGGCGAUUGUUGGCGCCCCGACCUUCGGGCGCUCAUUUUAGGGCGCGGCUGUGCCCGUGGCCUAUUUUUGGCACACGGAGGAAGCCCGCAAAGUAUGGGGCCAUUCCGAGUCCGGCGGACGAACUUCGCCCACGCCCCCCGCCAAGGCUAUAGCCCACCCGUUUUUUGGCCAUUUUUCCGCUGGGGGGUGUUGGCGCCCCGACCUUCGGGCGCUCAUUUUUGGGCGCGGCUGAGCCCGUGGCCUAUUUUUGGCACACGGAGGCCGCCCGCAAAGUCUGGGGCCAUUCCGAGUCGGGCGGACGAACUUCGCCCACGCCCCCCACCAAGGCUAUAGCCCACCCGUUUUUUGUCCAUUUUUCCGCUGGCGAGUGUGGACGCCCCGACCUUCGGGCGCUCAUUUUUGGGCGCAGCUGUGCCCGUGGCCUAUUUUUGGCACACGGAGGCCGCCCGCACAGUCUGGGGCCAUUCCGAGUCCGGCGGACGAACUUCGCCCACGCCCCGCGCAAAGGAUAUAGACCACCCGUUUUUUGGCCAUUUUUCCGCUGGCGAUUGUUGGCGCCCCGACCUUCGGGCGCUCAUUUUAGGGCGCGGCUGUGCCCGUGGCCUAUUUUUGGCACACGGAGGAAGCCCGCAAAGUAUGGGGCCAUUCCGAGUCCGGCGGACGAACUUCGCCCACGCCCCCCGCCAAGGCUAUAGCCCACCCGUUUUUUGGCCAUUUUUCCGCGGGGGGGUGUUGGCGCCCCGACCUUCGGGCGCUCAUUUUUGGGCGCGGCUGAGCCCGUCUCCUAUUUUUGGCACACGGAGGCCGCCCGCAAAGUAUGGGGCCAUUCCGAGUCCGGCGGACGAACUUCGCCCACGCCCCCCACCAAGGCUAUAGCCCACCCGUUUUUUGGCCAUUUUUCCGCUGGGGAGUGUUGGCGCCCCGACCUUCGGGCGCUCAUUUUUGGGCGCGGCUGUGCCCGUGGCCUAUUUUUGGCACACAGAGGCCGCCCGCAGAGUCUGGGGCCAUUCCGAGUCCGGCGGACGAACUUCGCCCACUCCCCCCACGAAGACCAUAGCCCACCCAUUUGUUGGCCAUUUUUCCGCUGGGGUUUCUUGGCGCCCCGUCCUUCGGGGGAUGAUUUUUGGGCGCGGCUGUGCCCGUGGCCUAUUUUUGGCACACGGAGGCCGCCCGCAAAGUCUGGGGCCAUUCUGAGUUUGGCGGACGAACUUCGCCCACGCCCUCCACCAAGGCUAUAGCCCACCCGAUUUUUGGCCAUUUUUCCGCUGGGGGGUCUUGGCCCCCCGACCUUCGGGGGCUGAUUUUUGGGCGCGGCUGUGCCCGUGUCCUAUUUUUGGCACACGGAGUCCGCCCGCAAAGUCUGGGGCCAUUCCGAGUCCGGCGGACGAACUUCGCCCACGCCCCCCACCAAGGCUAUAGCCCACACGUUUUUUGCCCAUUUUUCCGCUGGGGGGUGUUGGCACCCCAACCUUCGGGCGCUCAUUUUUGGGUGCGGCUGUGCCCGUGGCCUAUUUUUGGCACACUGAGGCCGCCCGCAAAGUCUGGGGCCAUUCCGAGUCCGGCGGACGAACUUCGCCCACGCCCCCCACCAAGGCUAUAGCCCACCCGUUUUUUGGCCAUUUUUCCGCUGGGGGGUGUUGUUACCCCGACCUUCGGGCGCUCAUUUUUGGGCGCGGUUGUGCCCGUGGCCUAUUGUUGGCACACGGAGGCCGCCCGCAAUGUAUGGGGCCAUUCCCAGUCCAGCGGACGAACUUCGCCCACGCCCCCCACCAAGGCUAUAGCCCACCCGUUUUUUGGCCAUUUUUCCGCUGGGGGGUGUUGUUACCCCCAACUUCGGGCGCUCAUUUUUGGGCAUGGAUGUGCUCGUGGCCUAUUUUUAGCACACGGAGGCAGCCCGCAAAGUAUGGGGCCAUUCCGAGUCCGGCGGACGAACUUCGCCCACGCCCCCCGCCAAGGCUAUAGCCCACCCGUUUUUUGGCCAUUUUUCCGCUGGGGGGUGUUGGUGCCCCGACCUUCGGGCGCUCAUUUUUGGGCGCGGCUGAGCCCGUGGCCUAUUUUUGGCACACGGAGGCCGCCCGCAAAGUCUGGGGCCAUUCCGAGUCCGGCGGACGAACUUCGCCCACGCCCCCCGCAAAGGAUAUAGCCCACCCGUUUUUUGGCCAUUUUUCCGCUGGCGAUUGUUGGCGCCCCGACCUUCGGGCGCUCAUUUUAGGGAGCGGCUGUGCCCGUGGCCUAUUUUUGGCACACGGAGGCCGCCCGCAAUGUAUGGGGCCAUUCCCAGUCCAGCGGACGAACUUCGCCCACGCCCCCCACCAAGGCUAUAGCCCACCCAUUUUUUGGCCAUUUUUCCGCUGGGGGGUGUUGUUACCCCGAACUUCGGGCGCUCAUUUUUGGGCAUGGAUGUGCUCGUGGCCUAUUUUUGGCACACGGAGGCAGCCCGCAAAGUAUGGGGCCAUUCCGAGUCCGGCGGACGAACUUCGCCCACGCCCCCCGCCAAGGCUAUAGCCCACCCGUUUUUUGGCCAUUUUUCCGCUGGGGGGUGUUGGUGCCCCGACCUUCGGGCGCUCAUUUUUGGGCGCGGCUGAGCCCGUGGCCUAUUUUUGGCACACGGAGGCCGCCCGCAAAGUCUGGGGCCAUUCCGAGUCCGGCGGACGAACUUCGCCCACGCCCCCCGCAAAGGAUAUAGCCCACCCGUUUUUUGGCCAUUUUUCCGCUGGCGAUUGUUGGCGCCCCGACCUUCGGGCGCUCAUUUUAGGGUGCGGCUGUGCCCGUGGCCUAUUUUUGGCACACGGAGGAAGCCCGCAAAGUAUGGGGCCAUUCCGAGUCCGGCGGACGAACUUCGCCCACGCCCCCCGCCAAGGCUAUAGCCCACACGUUUUUUGGCCAUUUUUCCGCUGGGGGGUGUUGGCGCCCCGACCUUCGGGCGCUCAUUUUUGGGCGCGGCUGAGCCCGUGGCCUAUUUUUGGCACACGGAGGCCGCCCGCAAAGUUUGGGGCCAUUCCGAGUCCGGCAGACGAACUUCGCCCACGCCCCCCACCAAGGCUAUAGCCGACCCGUUUUUUGGCCAUUUUUCCGCUGGGCGGUGUUGGAACCCCAACCUUCGGGAGCUCAUUUUUGGGCGCGGCUGUGCCCGUGGCCUAUUUUUGGAACACGGACGCCGCCCGCAAAGUCUGGGGCCAUUCCGAGUCCGGCGGACGAACAUCGCCCACGCCCCCCACCAAGGCUAUAGCCCACCCGUUUUUUGGCCAUUUUUCCGCUGGGGGGUGUUGGAACCCCAACCUUCGGGAGCUCAUUUUUGGGCGCGGCUGUGCCCGUGGCCUAUUUUUGGCACACGGAGGCCGCCCGCAAAGUCUGAGGCCAUUCCGAGUCCGGCGGACGAACAUCGCCCACGCCCCCCACCAAGGCUAUAGCCCACCCGUUUUUUGGCCAUUUUUCCGCUUGGGGGUCUUGGCGCCCCGACGGAAAGGGAGCUGAUUUUUGGGCGCGGCUGUGUCCGUGUCCUAUUUUUGGCACACGGAGGCCGCCCGCAAAGUCUGGGGCCAUUCCGAGUCCGGCGGACGAACUUCGCCCACGCCCCCCACCAAGGCUAUAGCCCACCCGAUUUUUGGUCAUUUUUCCGCUGGGGAGUCUUGGCUCCCCGACCUUCGGGGGCU